rnacentral:rRNA from 1 species
GUGGGGAAUUUUGCGCAAUGGGGGAAACCCUGACGCAGCAACGCCGCGUGAGUGAUGAAGGCCUUCGGGUCGUAAAGCUCUGUCAGAGGGAAAGAAAUGCGGGAGGGUUAAUACCCCUUUUGCUUGACGGUACCCUCAAAGGAAGCACCGGCUAACUCCGUGCCAGCAGCCGCGGUAAUACGGAGGGUGCGAGCGUUGUUCGGAAUUAUUGGGCGUAAAGCGCGUGUAGGCGGUCUUUUAAGUCUGAUGUGAAAGCCCCGGGCUCAACCUGGGAAGUGCAUUGGAAACUGGGAGACUUGAAUACGGGAGAGGGUAGUGGAAUUCCUAGUGUAGGAGUGAAAUCCGUAGAUAUUAGGAGGAACACCGGUGGCGAAGGCGGCUACCUGGACCGAUAUUGACGCUGAGACGCGAAAGCGUGGGGAGCAAACAGGAUUAGAAACCCGUGUAGUCC